AACCAAGAUGACUCCCUCUAAAAACAAUGCUCCUCUUCAGGAAGUAGCAACUUGGGAUAAAACCCAGCAUGCCACAGGUGUUCAGGGGAGAAGGUGAUGGCGUGAUUCCCUUGGCCUUCCAAUGGCUGCAUGUAUGA